GGUACUGUGGCUAAGUUGGUGAAAGCACCUGUCUUGUAAACUGGAGUGCCUGGGUUCAAAUCCCAGCUAUACUU